UUCCAGAGUCACAGCUUCAUAUUACAUUCGUAUGAGAUCCACAGGGCCAAAAUAUACCUGGAAAAUGGAAAGAAAGUGAGGAUGGUGGUUCAGCAAAUAUGCAGCAGAGUAAUAGAAACACAACCAGUCCAAAUAAUCUCAGAUCCCAGACAAUUGAAGAUAAAUGACAAGAUAAUUUUUGACUCGAAGAAAUGAAGUAAAAUGAACCCCAAAAAUGACUUCAAAUCAUCAUGUAACCAAACUCAAAUCAAAUAGUGCCAAAUAGCUCCAAAGUUUUCCAGAAUGGGAAGCUCUUUGGAAGAUCAAUGAUAGAUCCAAUGUAACAGUAAAAUUUGAUCAGCUGUAUGUAUAUAUUUCCUAAAGUUUU
rnacentral:lncRNA from 1 species